rnacentral:sRNA from 1 species
UUUUAGCCCCGAUAGAAGUGAAAAUCCUUUUUAUUUUUUCUUUAAAAAUAAAAAGAUUGCAACGGAUAGCGGGACAAAUG